GAGAUGAGAAAUGAUGUCUUUUGCUAUUGAAUUAGAAAUGUUUGAAAUCAAUUUUCAUUAACAUUCUACAAAUCUGAAAGCUUAUUAACCCUUCAAAGAAAAUAGUGACUCAUAUAUAUGCGUUUUAAUUUGGCAGAGGGACUAGUACAAUGGUAAAAGGUAUAUUUUGUGUUAAUAUUUCAGUAGUUAUGUAGACCAAUAUUUUAGAGAUGUACAUUGAAAAAUGAGGUUGCAAAGAGAAGAAUUUUGAACUAUCGUAUUUUAGACAAAAACAAUUCCAAAUAGCAUACAAGAUACUAGAAUGGUAACAUGUAAAUGAAAAGAACAUUAUAUAAUGGUGUACCAAAUAUAUUGGUUUGAAAUUUUGACAUCAGGCCGGCAAUUUCGAGGGAGGGGUAAGACGAAUACAUCGACCCUGUACUCAGCCGAGGCUUAUUCUAUCGGUCCUAAAAAGAUGAAAGUUAAAGAUGACUUCGGCAGAAUUUGAACUCAGAACGUAAAAGAGGGACGAAAUGCCGUUACGUUUUUGCCCGGCGUACUAAGGAUUUGGCCAGCUCGCAGUUUGAUGUACAUAAUAUACUGAAUAUAUCUAAAGAGCAGAGUAAUCAGCAUAGACAUACUGAAGUUUUGUGGCGCUUUACCAAGCGUAGAGGGUGUUGAUCUAAGACCAUAAGAUCAUGGGUUCGAUUCUUCGUCCGAGUGGCACGUUGUGUCACUAACAACGCAUUGUAUCCACGUUGCUCCGGUACAAUCUGCUGAAAAUUAGUGUCCUCCAAGUACUCUUGUCGACUUCUCCUAUAACACCUGCUAUUUAUUCGAUAUUUUGCUGAGUGAAGUAUAUGAGGGCCAAAAGGCUAUCUAAUUCCACUCAAUACAAUACAGGCUCCGAAGACCAUUAUCGAAAGCCGUUUACAUGUUCCUAACCACUGCUCAGUUGUACGAGAGAGUUAUCCUUAAAAUACAAUGGACAAAAUAAUUAACUGGUGUUACAUAGUUACUAUUUGAUACUAAAACAGAGAAGCAUUAUGUUGCAAACUAUUUUUUCUGUCAACAUUUUCUCAAUAAGUGAAGGAGGAGCCGGAAAAAAUGUGUCAUAACUUUGUAUUAACAUAUUCAUAAUUUCUUUAUAUCCAUUCAUUGAAAUUAAGUGAGUUCUCUUCAAAUCGAGAAUCGUGCUUUGAAGAAAUUCACCAAAGAAGGUAUUUCGGAGACAUUGAAAAGAGAAUGAGCUACGAAAAUGUAUCCAGAAGAUAUAGAUUUUAAAUAGAGCAGUAUAAUAUUUAUUAGACUGCGGCCAUGCUAGGGCAUGAAGGAUGUUAGGUCAACGAAUCGAUCCCAGUACCAUUUAACUUUAAUGCACGGUUUUCUGAGAACACUUCCCUUGAUAGCAUAAAGAAGCUAUCUCCGUUAUUUGGAAAAACAGUCGACCAUUGCCAGCUUUCGUUCAUUUUUGGAUGAAUUCCUUGAGAAAUUAAAGACUCAGUACUUAUGAUAGAUUCCUUCUUGCUUCUACGCAUGCCUGGAAAUAGACAAUGUCUAUAUUUCCUUUUGAACCUUCUAGCAAAAUUUGGGUUGUGCCGUUGUUGCAGUCAAGGCUUUCGUUAUUGUGAUUAAAAUUUGAGUUUUCCCAAAAAUUCUUUUGUAUUUGUGAAAUUAUAACUGUGUGUACAAUCUGGUACCACACUUGUGACUAACAACUUCUAUCGCUACAUCAGAAGCAGCUAUAUUGCACCGCUAAUAAACAAAGUAAAACGUAUGUUUGCAGAAAUAUAUAUACACAAUAAAACGUCUGAGAACGAACCAGUUUUGUUACCCCGGGUAAUGGCGUGAGUUAUAAAUAUUCUGAAAGCCUUUGCUGUUAGAAAGAACUAAACAAAAUAUUUUCCCAUCAAGUAAUUACUGAAGAAAAUAUCUUUUAAGCAGAGAUCUAUGAAACGUGACC
rnacentral:lncRNA from 1 species